AUACGAAAGGUGCAAGCGUUGUUCGGAUUUACUGGGCGUAAAGAGAGUGUAGGUUGUUUAUUAAGUCGGAUGUGAAAUCCCGGGGCUCAACCUCGGACCUGCAUUCGAUACUGAUAGGCUAGAGUUUGGGAGGGGUAAGCGGAAUUCCGUGUGUAGCAGUGAAAUGCGUAGAUAUACGGAGGAACACCUGAGGCGAAGGCGGCUUACUGGACCAAUACUGACACUGAGACUCGAAAGCGUGGGUAGCAAACAGGAUUAGAAACCCCAGUAGUCC
rnacentral:rRNA from 1 species